CACCGAUGAUAGCAAGUCAAGUUACGACUUCCACAAUAACGAUGUGUACAAACAGCCGAUAUCUUUAAUCCCGGCGGGCACACCUCCCCCUGCAUACGAAAAGAAUGUAAACAAGAAUGACCAGCGCCCCCCCAGGACGCAACAGGUGCUGCUACAACACAUGAAAAAUGCAGGGAGACUAAUGAACAUGGCAGCCAAUCUGAAGAAUUAGGAAGGAUUCGAAGAUCUGCUGCAGAAUCUAUAGUCUAAAUAAUGCUAUAUCAUAAUUGCGGCGGUGUGUUCAACUCUGGUGACGAACUGACUUGCUGACUUUCUACGCUGGCAGCACAUUGUUUGUAAAGUUGGUAUACAAUAUUUACCUGUUUUGUGAAAAUAUUUUUUGGUUUUGAGUGGUUUUUGAAGGCGGUUUAAUUUUUUGUUAAAAUUAUUUUUAUUACAAUGACAAACGUCAAUCAGACAUCUAUUUACGUUUUAGUGACCAUAGCGGCCAUGAACAGUAUUAUUUAAAUUAUUUAAGAAGAAUGAGUUAAGUUUGCGUUUGAUGUUAUUUGGCGUUUAACUAUCACGCAGUUCUGAGGGUAGUCUGUUAAUUAGUCGCGGCACAAGGUCUGAGGCGGCCCGCGAGCCAUACGUGUUGUUGUCUUCCCGCUUUCCAGUAUUAUGUAUUAGUCUAAGAUUCGCACGCAGCGUCACUUGCCUGUUUUGUGCAAUGGCUCGUGUAUAUAUGGAAUCGUUAAUUUCUUUUUUAAAUUGAUUAUUGAAGAAAUAUCUAAUAAGAAAAGUAUAUUCGACAUUAAUGGGAAUAGGUGACAUACGACAAUAACUACACAGUCUUCUAUAGUUGUUUUUAAACUGGUCUCUUACUUUGUUGUGAAUUUAUUUCAAAAUUUUUAUUUGUUAAUUAUAAAUUUGUUUUAAAUAAGUUUUUUAAGUGCGACCAUAGCAACUGAGACUGUAAUGAAUAUAGGAUUCCAUCUAUGCACAGCAUCAAUUUAAUUUUAUACGAUAAUCGAUCUUUUAAAAUUAUAAUAUUUGUCAAGAAAUGUCUCAAUUUGGUACAGACGCGGUCAUUCUAGUUAAUUUACUGUCAAUAUGUAAAAGAAAAUAAGCGUAAGUAUCUAAAACGCCAAUGCUAGGGUAAUCACAUAAAAUGAUGUUAUGUUUGUUGUGUUCAUGAGUUACCAGAUUCAAUGAUUGUGUAUAUGUAUCAAAUGGGGAUUUAAUUAUCAUGAGUUUAGUUUUUUAAAACAAGGCUACAUACAUUACUUAUAGAAAAGUGUUACUACACUAUACAAGAUUAUUUACAAGAUUCACUCAUUGUUAUUACUACAUAAUGUGUUACUGCUAGAAGAAUAUUAAUAAAGAUACAGUUAUCCUACUUAAUAACUUAAUAUUUAUUGAUCUGUUAAUAUUUAAAAUUUAGAAGGUUUAUUGUUUUGUUUAAGCUAUAAAUUAACUUAGUUUAUAAUUCUCUGUUCCUAUUCAUAUAUAUUUUAUUUGUUCUGUCAAAGGUUACGUAUUUGCUUUAAACUUAAGUAUUACUUAUAUUCUAAUCUAGAUCUAAGCAUCUAUUUCCCAAACAUUUAUAAGCUACAAAAGCAGAUGUCGGCGAACUCUAUCGUUAUUACUUAAGACCAAUGUACCUAUUUACCUGAUAUCAUUAAUAAAAAAAUUUAAUUUGACUUUGAAUAUAAUAAGUGAUGUGUAAGCGUCAUGACACCACUUGGUGUCACAGAAUUAGAGGCGGAUUGCAAACGAGAAUGGGCUCUUUGAAGCUCUUUAUCAGCAGUUAUAAGACAAGUGUCGCCCGCAAAUUUGUAGCACGUACACUGUACAGUGUGCAAUAGGGGACCGGCCUAUGCUUGAUUUUGUACAUUAUUCUAUAUGUAAUGGUUAAUAAUACG